rnacentral:rRNA from 1 species
UAUUUAAGGUGACGCCUGCCCAGUGCUAUUAACAGUAAACGGCCGCAGUACCCUGACUGUGCUAAGGUAGCAUAAUCAGUUGGCUUUUAAAUGGAGUCGGGAAUGAAUGGACUAAUAGGGUGUGACUGUCUCUCCUACACUAAAUUGAACUUUCUUAUUAGGUGAAAAUGCCUAAGCUUAGAAAAAAGACGAGAAGACCCUAGGAGUUUUUACUAGAGGUUACAAAAUUUAACUGUUGUUUUUGUUGGGGCGACAAAGGAGCAAUUAAACCCUCCUUUUACUAUCUGCCGACAGUGUAUGAGAGAUUAAACUACCCUAGGGAUAACAGCGUAAUUCUUAAGAGCUUGCGACCUCGAUGUUGGACUAGGAAUUUGGUAGGCUAGCCGCCUAUUUAUAUUGUUCUG